rnacentral:tRNA from 1 species
CCAGGCGUAGUGCAGAGGCAGACACGCCGCACUGCGGAUGCGGAGGACGCCGGUUCGAUUCCGGCCGCCUGGC